GAUUUGAUCAAUGAUCCGCCGGUUUAGAUCGGGUUAGGUGUUCUUUGUUGCAUUGCACUUGACACCAUGCCCAAAUCUAAUUUACAGAUUUUUUUUUUGGUACAAUAGUGGCACACACACGAGUGUAGAUGCGGCCAAUAAAAUCAAAAAGUAAAAGACUACAUAAGGGCUCUGGCACUGAGCCGCGAUCCAUUCAGAUGAAGCCUCUAAAGUGGUGAGCCAUAAAGAACGCAACCCAGUCAGCGGCACCGUUUGCCUCCCUAUAAACGUGCAUGACUUAGUGGGAGCCACACUCCCUCACCGCACAAUCCUUAAUAUGGCACGUAGUAUGUUG
rnacentral:lncRNA from 1 species